UGAGUAACCUGCCCUUCACUCUGGGAUAACUCCGGGAAACCGGGGCUAAUACUGGAUAUGACUCGAACAGGCAUCUGUUUCGGAUGGAAAGAUUUAUUGGUGGAGGAUGGACUCGCGGCCUAUCAGCUUGUUGGUGAGGUAAUGGCUCACCAAGGCGGCGACGGGUAGCCGGCCUGAGAGGGCGAUCGGCCACACUGGGACUGAGACACGGCCCAGACUCCUACGGGAGNA
rnacentral:rRNA from 1 species